UUAGCACUCUGGACUUUGAAUCCAGCG
rnacentral:piRNA from 4 species